rnacentral:rRNA from 1 species
AGCAGUCGCCGCGGGAAUACGGAGGGUGCAAGCGUUACUCGGAAUCACUGGGCGUAAAGGACGCGUAGGCGGAUUAUCAAGUCUCUUGUGAAAUCCAACGGCUUAACCGUUAAACUGCUUGGGAAACUGAUAAUCUAGAGUAAGGGAGAAGCAGAUGGAAUUCUUGGUGUAGGGGUAAAAUCCGUAGAUAUCAAGAAGAAUACCUAUUGCGAAGGCGAUCUGCUGGAACUUAACUGACGCUAAUGCGUGAAAGCGUGGGGAGCAAACAGGAUUAGAUACCCCCGUAGUCCCUGUCUCUUAUAA